UGCUGCUGCUACUAGAGAUGUUGCUGUGUGGAUCUGUUGUCAGAACUGGAGAAGCAAGAUAUUUUUUGAAUUGAGGAGACAACCCAUGGUUUGCUAGGUGUCGCUUGUGCUGCUUAUAGGUGCCUCGAAGGCGGCGUCUGCUCGACCUGCAGCCUGCAGGUUGGUCCUCCUCGGCCACCAAGUCGUGCUCGCCUCUCCUCGGAGCAGCUCGCUGGUCGCCGCCCCAUAUUGCCGCUGGCGAGUACGUGGUUGCAUGUUGAAGGUCCUCCAGCCGCCAUCCUCUUGCAGCGAACCUCCAACCGGUCCUCCACAUCUAAGCAAGAUGUGUCAUGGAAGAAGAUGAAGUUAUAGAGAAGAUUAGGCCUUGAUGUUCUACAGCAAGGUGGUGUAUUGGAUUCAGUGGUGUGAGAUAUGUGCGUGCUGCCACCUUUGCUUAAUACUUUUUUCAUCAACCGUAUUGCAAGCUAGGGAUUGUUGAUUUUGUGUGGUUGCGUUGUUGUUCUGUUU